rnacentral:rRNA from 1 species
UACAGAGACUGCAAGCGUUAUUCGGAUUCACUGGGCGUAAAGGGUGCGCAGGCGGCCAAGUGUGUUAGGCGUGAAAGCCCGGGGCUUAACCCCGGAAUUGCACCUAAAACUAACAUGGCUAGAGCAUUGGAGAGGGUAGCAGAAUUCAUGGUGUAGCAGUGAAAUGCGUAGAUAUCAUGAGGAAUACCAGAGGCGAAGGCGGCUACCUGGACAAUUGCUGACGCUCAGGCACGAAAGCGUGGGGAGCAAACAGG